rnacentral:lncRNA from 1 species
AAAUAUUUAUUUGUUCCAUGCAUUAUUUGUUAAAAAUCCACAUACACGGAUUUUAAUAAUAAGCAUAAUGCAUACAAUGGCUCUUCAACUAUUUCCGAUCGGUUCUUAUACAUCCGUGGCUUUCAAAUGUUCGGUUUUUAGUGUUUUAUAUCAAGGUUAAUUCAGAAAAGCGCUUCGGACGACUGAAAUUUAAACGUGCAUGUUGAUUUCAUUUAAUCUUCUGAAUUUUUUAGGCCGUAAUGAGGUUAAAAAAACGACUCCCUAAUUCAUCUUAACAAAAUAGAAAAGAUCAGAGUAGGUAUAACUUACCGUCGCAGAUAUUUCAUACAUAUUCAAGAUAAAAACAUACACCUGAUAUGAUACUUUUGAUAUCGACUUAUCUAGUGCAAUUACGACAGGAACAUACCCAGUACUGUUAUACAAUAACAUUGUGUAUAUGGAAAUGCUUUAGCAAUGUAUAAAGUGUAAUGCUUUUAAUAAACUGGUGACAAAUUAAUGAUAUAGAAGAAAGUAGAAAAGGCGAC